UACGGAGGGUGCAAGCAUUAAUCGGAUUUAUUGGGCGUAAAGGGUGCGUAGGCGGUUUGGCAAGUCUGAUGUGAAAUCUAUGGGCUCAACCCAUAGUCUGCAUCAGAAACUGCCGGGCUUGAGUAUGGGAGAGGUGAGUGGAAUUUCCGGUGUAGCGGUGAAAUGCGUAGAUAUCGGAAGGAACACCUGUGGCGAAAGCGGCUCACUGGACCAUAACUGACGCUGAUGCACGAAAGCUAGGGGAGCAAACAGG
rnacentral:rRNA from 1 species